GAGGGAGAAGCAGACUCCCCGCCUAGCAGGGAGCCCGAUGCGGGACUCGAUCCCAGGACUCCAGGAUCAUGACCUGAGCCGAAGGCAGUCGCUUAACCAACUGAGCCACCCAGGCGCCCCUCUCCUUGUUUUUUUUCUGUUUGUUUGUUUUGUUUUUUGUUUUUAUUCUUAAAGACCCUCUUUCAUAUCUCGUGGAGCUCUUCUUUUAUUGGUAGUAUUAAGUGCCCGAGGCCUCAACGCUGAGACUCAACUGCUGUUGAAAUCCAAGAAGACAGACACAGCACAAUAUUUUAAUCAUUCACGUUAGCUAGCCUACACAAUAAGGAUGAAAAGAAGAGUCGGAGUGAGCAGAGAUCAGAACUGUCAUCGGAACAAGCCUGGGCUAAGAGGAACAGGGUGGAAGAUCCAUGGUUAGACGUGGUCAGUGGGACAGGAAUUACUCAAUCACAUAAGUACUUGAAUCAAUGGAUGCUGAACGACCAAUGACCAUGGAGGGAAAUUUGCAAGACCUGUAAUACUGCAACUUGUUGCCUGAUAUCUUAGCAAAGACAACCCCAAAGACAACAACUACAAACAGGGACAUCGAUUGCCCGUCCUACUCUUCCUCUUUCCCAGACUUUACCAAGAUGAGAUUGCGAUCACCUAAAGAUGUGCGGGGAUGCUUUCUUGCCCAUCUGCUCGGGAGCGACAUGCCAACUGGACACGGCCAGGCAGGAGAGCCAGUGGUGCUGGGACUGAGGGACUGAGUCAGCGCUAGGACCCCGCUCCUGCAGCAGUCCCUGCAUCAGGGCAGACUGAUGACAAGAGAUCACAUUUGUGGAUACUGUAGAGAAAGAACGAGCAGCAAACAUCCAGAUCCUGUGCCCCAUUUCCUAGUUCACCUCUCUUCUGGGGAUCGGCUGACUGGGGGUGGGAGGGGGUAAUGGAGACUUCCCUG